rnacentral:rRNA from 1 species
GACGAACGCUGGCGGCGUGCUUAACACAUGCAAGUCGAACGGAAAGGCCCUGCUUUUGUGGGGUGCUCGAGUGGCGAACGGGUGAGUAACACGUGAGUAACCUGCCCUUGACUUUGGGAUAACAUCAGGAAACUGGGGCUAAUACCGGAUAGGAGCUCCUGCUGCAUGGUGGGGGUUGGAAAGUUUCGGCGGUUGGGGACGGACUCGCGGCUUAUCAGCUUGUUGGUGGGGUAGUGGCUUACCAAGGCUUUGACGGGUAGCCGGCCUGAGAGGGUGACCGGCCACAUUGGGACUGAGAUACGGCCCAGACUCCUACGGGAGGCAGCAGUGGGGAAUAUUGCACAAUGGGCGGAAGCCUGAUGCAGCAACGCCGCGUGCGGGAUGACGGCCUUCGGGUUGUAAACCGCUUUCGCCUGUGACGAAGCGUGAGUGACGGUAAUGGGUAAAGAAGCACCGGCUAACUACGUG